ACUACACUACACUGUUAUCGCUGUAUCUAUCCAGGUAGAGUCCCGGAUCUCAUCUCAGUCAUUUCCUAAUCUCGGUCACUCGUUCUCUGCCAAAUAGCUGCAGCCAGACCUAGCUGCUACACUAGCAUCAUAGUCCUACUGGAUAGCAACUAGGUAGAGCGGGUCACAUCAGCAUCCGUCGUAACGUUACUGCUGCAGAACUUGAAAACUGAUCGCACCUAUUCUCGGUCACAGAGUAUCAUAUCUCAGUCAGUGCUUGCCAUCUCGUUUCUACAACUCCGUUUGAGACGCAAAUCAACUCUCUCUCGAUAGGCUUACUAUAUCACUUCCUUUCGCCAAAUUGUUGGUUUUGUCUUGUCAACCUCUACCCUCGGAGACAACGAAGAAGACGGAUGACUCACGGGACAUAAUCUCAGUCACCUGAUCUCAAGUGAUUUUCUCUCUUCAGAUGCAGAUCUGAGGCGUUCUUUUUGGCUCAUGUUAUAGUCAUCACCUCUGGCUACUAUACCUACGGGGUGAUGUUAGUGCUCAUCAUACUGUUGCUACGGCAGAAUGCGAAAUUUGAGAGACAAAGACUCGGACAUCCAGGAUCAUAUCUCGGUCAGUCGCUUUCAUCGAGGUUCUACAAGACGAAUUGAGACGUUAGUCAUGUCUGUUGAAAGGGCGGUGAGAAAGGUGAUCGACCUACUGGACAUAAUCUCGGUCACAGUAUGAGCGCACUUCUUGGGUUCUACAGCUUUCAGAUUGAUCAUCAUGGAGAUAAACAUUGAAUCCAUUCUGGUACAAGUUGAAUGUCACAAGAGUAUGCUAGGACUCUGCAUACUUGUAAACUGUGUACAUACUAUGAUCUUGUUGAUUGUAAGAUGUUAGCUACAUCAGUUAUUAUCAACAAUGUGCACUGCUUAGUUAUAUACACUGAAGGUUCGUUGGAUAUCUUCACUGGACUAAUUAUCAUAACUGUCUCAGAACUGUGUCAUGAGAAAGAUUGUUUUCUCUUUGGCAACAUGUCACCAUUUUCAUAAGUUCCCAAUCAGCAUAA